CCUACCAAGGCGACGAUCUGUAGCGGGUCUGAGAGGAUGAUCCGCCACACUGGGACUGAGACACGGCCCAGACUCCUACGGGAGGCAGCAGUGGGGAAUAUUGGACAAUGGGCGCAAGCCUGAUCCAGCCAUGCCGCGUGUGUGAAGAAGGCCUUAUGGUUGUAAAGCACUUUAAGCGAGGAGGAGGCUACUGAAGUUAAUACCUUCAGAUAGUGGACGUUACUCGCAGAAUAAGCACCGGCUAACUCUGUGCCAGCAGCCGCGGUAAUACAGAGGGUGCAAGCGUUAAUCGGAUUUACUGGGCGUAAAGCGCGCGUAGGCGGCUAAUUAAGUCAAAUGUGAAAUCCCCGAGCUUAACUUGGGAAUUGCAUUCGAUACUGGUUAGCUAGAGUGUGGGAGAGGAUGGUAGAAUUCCAGGUGUAGCGGUGAAAUGCGUAGAGAUCUGGAGGAAUACCGAUGGCGAAGGCAGCCAUCUGGCCUAACACUGACGCUGAGGUGCGAAAGCAUGGGGAGCAAACAGGAUUAGAUACCCUGGUAGUCCAUGCCGUAAACGAUGUCUACUAGCCGUUGGGGCCUUUGAGGCUUUAGUGGCGCAGCUAACGCGAUAAGUAGACCGCCUGGGGAGUACGGUCGCAAGACUAAAACUCAAAUGAAUUGACGGGGGCCCGCACAAGCGGUGGAGCAUGUGGUUUAAUUCGAUGCAACGCGAAGAACCUUAC
rnacentral:rRNA from 1 species